UACGUAGGGCGCAAGCGUUAUCCGGAAUUAUUGGGCGUAAAGGGCGCGUAGGCGGCCCUUCUUGUCGCGUGUGAAAUCUAUGGGCUCAACUCAUAGUCUGCAUCGGAAACUGCCGGGCUUGAGUGUGGGAGAGGUGAGUGGAAUUCCUGGUGUAGCGGUGAAAUGCGUAGAUAUUCGCAAGAACACCAGUGGCGAAGGCGGCUCACUGGCCCGGUACUGACGCUGAGGUGCGAAAGCGUGGGGAGCAAACAGG
rnacentral:rRNA from 1 species